GCGGUGUUUGUGGCCAAGAUACGAAAUAUUUAGAAACGGGUAAAAUGAAAACAUUUAAAGAUGGCAAAAAAUUUCAUGUGAACGCCAAUAUGACUUGUAAGACAACAAACCUUAUUUACUGCGUCACAUGUCCUGGUUGUCACGAAAAUUAUAUUGGACAGACCGGGAAUAGCCUCUGUGAACGGGUGCGAGUUCACAAAGAACAAAUAAAACACCCACAAUACAGAAAUUCGCCAAUUAGUGCCCAUCUUGACAUUUGUGGUAAAAAGCAUUUUCAAAUAAUGCCUAUUUUUAAAUGUAGACGGGAUGAAGCAUAUAGAAAAGAGAUGGAACGUUAUUUCAUAACAACGUUCCGAUCAAAAUUAAAUCCAGAGAACUUUUAAUAACGAACAAUGACGGAACGUCAUAAACCUCCUUAACGACGUCGCCUAUAGCGACACUACAUCAGUUAUCCUGAAGAGUCCCAAUGGAAGGAUGAAAUCGAUAGAAUGGAACUGUUAACUUUUUACUUAUUUUAUUAUUUUAUUUGAUGAAUAUAUAUAUAUAAGUGUCUAAGAAUGUAACUUUAACACACUAAUGAGUGUUAUAAAAUUAGUUUGUUAUAUUUUAUAUAUUAUUCACGCAAUAUUUCGCUAAACAAAUUAGCUUCAUCGGGCGUGUGCAUCUAUCUAGGUGAAAUCGGAUGCAUGCACAAAAAAUAUCUUUGUAGCUUGACGGCUACACAAAAUUUGUGUAAAAGUUUAACAUAUUGAUUAAUGGGGUAUAUAAAACAUAUUUUUGCCGUUUAUUGUACAUAACAAUUUUUAAAUCUAAACAAAUAGUUGUUUUAGUUAAAUAGAAUGAAAUUCAUGAUUUAUUC
rnacentral:lncRNA from 1 species